rnacentral:lncRNA from 1 species
GUUUUCAGGGACAGACCUAAAUACUGUCCGCCAUAGAGUUAUGCAUAAUGUUACUAUAACAGACAAACAACACUGACUGUAUAAUGUUACUAUAACAGACACUGACUGCAUAAUGUUACUAUAACAGACAAACACUGACUGCAUAAUGUUACUAUAACAGACAAACAACACUGACUGCAUAAUGUUACUAUAACAGACACUGACUGCAUAAUGUUCCUAUAACAGACAACAACACUCUUUUCACACUACGCGGUUGGACUAAUCCUGUGAAAUGAUGAUAAUGCCCUUUUAGUGUUAGAGCUGUUUGAAAAGACAGCCUGAAAUUUCAGCCUGUUUUGGUGGGAUGGAGUUUUGGCCUGCCUGGUGACA